CCAUUAUUUAUCACAAAUGAUGCAGAACUUGCACCAUGUGAAUAUUUUGGUUCAUGAUGAUGCUAGGGUUGACGGAGAAAAUCAAGAUGAUCAAUACAUUCUCGAUGGAUAACGCUUUACUUUGAAGAAACUGCUCUCUGCUCUGUAUGUAUGAAUGUCUGCAGUGUCGUGGGAAUUGUAAAGGUUAGAAAUUUGUUUAAUGCACUCCGAUUUGUACUUUGUUCAAUUAGGUAUGGUUAUUGACUGAUCUAUCGAGCUUGAAAUCAAGUCAAUAAGGACCAUGAAUUCCCAACUCUAAAUUUUUAUGUAACUAUUGUGUUUAAAUUGAAUAAUUUUCUUUAUCCCUCAAUAACGUUUUG